rnacentral:rRNA from 1 species
GACGGAGGAUGCAAGUGUUAUCCGGAAUCACUGGGCGUAAAGCGUCUGUAGGUUGUUUAAAAAGUCUGCAGUUAAAGGUUGAAGCUUAACUUCAAAAAUGCCGUAGAAACUUUUAAACUAGAGGAUGGUAGGGGUAGAGGGAAUUUCCAGUGGAGCGGUGAAAUGUGUAGAGAUCGGAAAGAACACCAACGGCGAAAGCACUCUGCUGGGCCGACACUGACACUGAGAGACGAAAGCUAGGGGAGCGAAUGGG